rnacentral:rRNA from 1 species
AUUGAACGCUGGCGGCAGGCCUAACACAUGCAAGUCGAGCGGAUGAAGGGAGCUUGCUCCUGGAUUCAGCGGCGGACGGGUGAGUAAUGCCUAGGAAUCUGCCUGGUAGUGGGGGAUAACGUCCGGAAACGGGCGCUAAUACCGCAUACGUCCUGAGGGAGAAAGUGGGGGAUCUUCGGACCUCACGCUAUCAGAUGAGCCUAGGUCGGAUUAGCUAGUUGGUGGGGUAAAGGCCUACCAAGGCGACGAUCCGUAACUGGUCUGAGAGGAUGAUCAGUCACACUGGAACUGAGACACGGUCCAGACUCCUACGGGAGGCAGCAGUGGGGAAUAUUGGACAAUGGGCGAAAGCCUGAUCCAGCCAUGCCGCGUGUGUGAAGAAGGUCUUCGGAUUGUAAAGACUUUAAGUUGGGAGGAAGGGCAGUAAGUUAAUACCUUGCUGUUUUGACGUUACCAACAGAAUAAGCACCGGCUAACUUCGUG